rnacentral:rRNA from 1 species
GCCGCGGUAAUUCCAGCUCCAAUAGCGUAUAUUAAAGUUGUUGCAGUUAAAAAGCUCGUAGUUGAAUUUCGGGAUUAGUACGUCGGUCGUGCCUUAGGUACGUACUGGUGUUACUGGUUCCUACCUUCUGACGAACCAUCAUGUCAUUAAUUUGGUGUGGUGGGGAAUCAGGACUGUUACUUUGAAAAAAUUAGAGUGUUUAAAGCAGGCUCGCGCUUGAAUACAUUAGCAUGGAAUAAUGAAAUAGGACGUUGAUCCUAUUUUGUUGGUUUCUAGGAUUGACGUAAUGAUUAAUAGGGAUAGUUGGGGGCAUUAGUAUUCAAUUGUCAGAGGUGAAAUUCUUGGAUUUAUUGAAGACUAACUACUGCGAAAGCAUUUGCCAAGGAUGUUUUCAUUAAUCAAGAACGAAAGUUAGGGGAUCGAAGACGAUCAGAUACCGUCGUAGUCUUAACCAUAAACUAUGCCGACUAGGGAUCGGAUGAUGUUAUUUU